UGCAAAAAAAAAAUCAUUGCUGAGUGUGGUUCUUUAGUUGUAAAGACUCCAAAUCAUUGAAAAGGAACUUCUCUUAAGAGUUUCAAUAGUUUGAGGAGUAUUGCAUGAACCAGAAAUUCAUUGAUCCAAUGAUUGAAAUAUUAUCUGGGAGUUGAAAAGACUGCAAACUUUGAUGAACUGAUUGCUGCUGUAUGUGGCUAUCGAAGGUGGCGAAAAUGGAGACAUCAAAGAAAACAAUCUAUGAGGAUUAUGGAAAUUACUCGUGAAUCAGGCGAUGACAUUUUGUACUAUUUAAAGAAUUUCAUUUUUGUUGUUAAUUGGUAGGCGACAAGCAUAAAAUUCAUUAUAUAUAAUGUGACUUGCAAUUUUAAACUCUUAAA